UUGCGGGUGUUUGUCAAAGGGCAGUUUACUGAUGAUGAGUGGGCAGAGGAAUAACAUAUGCCCAAAAUGACGAUGACCAUUAGGGAGAGCUCUUUGAGGUGCUCGAGGAUGAUAAGUGCCUUCCAGAAGAACAAGUUCAAGCAAUUGCUAAGCAGCUGGUAAAAGCAUUGUAUUACUUGCACUCCAAUCGUAUUAUCCACCGGGAUAUGAAACCUCAGAACAUCCUUAUUGGAAAAGGAUCUAUUGUCAAGGUACAAUUCUGAAUACUCAAGGUGAUGGUGAUCACUGAUGCCGCACCAUCUCAGUCGUCUGGGUUCAACUGAAGGUGAUGCUGAUCAGUUAUGAUGUUCAAAGUCGAAACAUGGUGAUGAUUUGACAGUAUAAAACUGAGAGUGUCACAAUUUUCGUCUCCGUUUUGCUCAGUGUGUACGACAGUAUA